GACACCAUUACAUGUUGCCGUUCAGGCCCAAAGAACUGACAUAGUAAAGCUAUUAUUAAUUAAAGGAGCAGACAGGACAUUAAAAAACCAGGAUGGUUUAACCCCACUUGAUCUUUGCCUCUAUUUUGGUAGAGACACAAGGACUUACGGACUUAUCAAGCUGUUGAAGCAAUUCCCCUACAAUUCAACUGCACUGACAACAAAAAAGCCAUUUCAAUAAUGUUAUAGCCUUCCCAACUGCAUUGACAACGCCACAACAGAUUUUGCCAUCUUCUGGAACUGGAAGAACCUCA
rnacentral:misc_RNA from 1 species